rnacentral:rRNA from 1 species
CCUACGGGGGGCUGCAGUGAGGAAUAUUGGUCAAUGGGCGAGAGCCUGAACCAGCCAAGUCGCGUGAGGGAGUACUGCCCUAUGGGUUGUAAACCUCUUUUGUCGGGGAGCAAAAGCCGGACGUGUCCGGCUGGGAGAGUACCCGAAGAAAAAGCAUCGGCAAACUCCGUGCCAGCAGCCGCGGUAAUACGGAGGAUGCGAGCGUUAGCCGGAUUUAUUGGGGUUAAAGGGUGCGCAGGCGGAUUUUUAAGUCAGCGGUAAAAUCGUGGGGCUCACCCCCAUCCAGCCUUUGAAACUGGGGAUCUAGAGUGUGCGAGAGGCAUGCGGAAUGCGUGGUGUAGCGGUGAAAUGCAUAGAUAUCACGCAGAACCCCGAUUGCGAAGGCAGCAUACCGGUGCACAACUGACGCUCAGGCACGAAAGCGUGGGUAUCGAACAGGAUUAGAUACCCGUGUAGUC